rnacentral:tRNA from 1 species
UAUAUAUUAGUAUAUGAUGUACCUAAAGUUUUGAUCUUUAAAGAAAUAGUUUAACUCUAUUAUAUAUAA